UACGGAGGGUGCAGGCGUUAUCCGGAAUCAUUGGGUUUAAAGGGUCCGCAGGCGGAUUUAUAAGUCAGUGGUGAAAGCCCGUCGCUCAACGACGGAACUGCCAUUGAUACUGUAAGUCUUGAAUUCGGUCGAAGUGGGCGGAAUAUGACAUGUAGCGGUGAAAUGCUUAGAUAUGUCAUAGAACACCGAUGGCGAAGGCAGCCCCCUGGGCCGACAUUGACGCUCAGGCACGAAAGCGUGGGGAGCAAACAGG
rnacentral:rRNA from 1 species